AGUGAACGCUGGCGGUAGGCCUAACACAUGCCAGUCGAACGGCAGCACAGUAAGAGCUUGCUCUUACGGGUGGCGAGUGGCGGACGGGUGAGGAAUACAUCGGAAUCUACUUUUUCGUGGGGGAUAACGUAGGGAAACUUACGCUAAUACCGCAUACGACCUACGGGUGAAAGCAGGGGAUCUUCGGACCUUGCGCGAUUGAAUGAGCCGAUGUCGGAUUAGCUAGUUGGCGGGGUAAAGGCCCACCAAGGCGACGAUCCGUAGCUGGUCUGAGAGGAUGAUCAGCAACACGGGAACUGAGACACGGUCCAGACUCCUACGGGAGGCAGCAGUGGGGAAUAUUGGACAAUGGGCGCAAGCCUGAUCCAGCCAUACCGCGUGGGUGAAGAAGGCCUUCGGGUUGUAAAGCCCUUUUGUUGGGAAAGAAAAGCAGCAGGUUAAUACCCCGCUGUUCUGACGGUACCCAAAGAAUAAGCACCGGCUAACUUCGUG
rnacentral:rRNA from 1 species